GAUCCAUACGCUCCUUUAUGCGCUCAAAUCGCUACUGGAAGUGAUCAAACCGAGAGGUGACUUCAGUCUGAUACUAAUCGAGAUGCUCCUCUAUAGAGUAGAAGCGGGAGUCAUGGAUUAGGGCAAGCUCCUCCAUACGAGUCCCAAGAGAGCUGAUCUGCGCGGAGAGAUCCAUCCAAGGCGCAUGAUCAGGAACAUGAGGUGCCUGAGAUGGUAGCUCGGUAAAUGAUGGCUGAGAUGAAGGGCCUGCUAUGAAGGACGACUCAGUCAUCAUAGGCUCGGAGAAGGUAGCCUCAACAUGAAUGCCCUCUGACUAAUGUGGAGGCGGAAUGUCAA
rnacentral:lncRNA from 1 species